rnacentral:rRNA from 1 species
AGAGUUUGAUCCUGGCUCAGAAUCAACGCUGGCGGCGCGCUUAACACAUGCAAGUCGAACGAGAAAGUGGAGCAAUCCAUGAGUAAAGUGGCGUACGGGUGAGUAACACGUGGAUUAUCUGCCCUUGAGUGGGGAAUAACGAUGGGAAACCGUCGCUAAUACCGCAUAUUCCCGAGAGGGGAAAGCAGCAAUGCGCUCAAGGAGGAGUCCGCGGCCGAUUAGCUAGUUGGUAGGGUAAUGGCCUACCAAGGCUUCGAUCGGUAGCCGGCCUGAGAGGGCACACGGCCACACUGGCACUGAAACACGGGCCAGACUCCUACGGGAGGCAGCAGUGGGGAAUCUUGCACAAUGGGGGCAACCCUGAUGCAGCGACGCCGCGUGAGCGAUGAAGCCCUUCGGGGUGUAAA